GGGUUGUGAGGUUAAGCGACUAAGCGUACACGGUGGAUGCCCUGGCAGUCAGAGGCGAUGAAGGACGUGCUAAUCUGCGAUAAGCGUCGGUAAGGUGAUAUGAACCGUUAUAACCGGCGAUUUCCGAAUGGGGAAACCCAGUGUGAUUCGUCACACUAUCAUUAACUGAAUCCAUAGGUUAAUGAGGCGAACCGGGGGAACUGAAACAUCUAAGUACCCCGAGGAAAAGAAAUCAACCGAGAUUCCCCCAGUAGCGGCGAGCGAACGGGGAGCAGCCCAGAGCCUGAAUCAGUGUGUGUGUUAGUGGAAGCGUCUGGAAAGGCGUGCGAUACAGGGUGACAGCCCCGUACACAAAAAUGCACAUACUGUGAGCUCGAUGAGUAGGGCGGGACACGUGGUAUCCUGUCUGAAUAUGGGGGGACCAUCCUCCAAGGCUAAAUACUCCUGACUGACCGAUAGUGAACCAGUACCGUGAGGGAAAGGCGAAAAGAACCCCGGCGAGGGGAGUGAAAAAGAACCUGAAACCGUGUACGUACAAGCAGUGGGAGCACAGAGCAAUCUGUGUGACUGCGUACCUUUUGUAUAAUGGGUCAGCGACUUAUAUUCUGUAGCAAGGUUAACCGAAUAGGGGAGCCGAAGGGAAACCGAGUCUUAACUGGGCGUUAAGUUGCAGGGUAUAGACCCGAAACCCGGUGAUCUAGCCAUGGGCAGGUUGAAGGUUGGGUAACACUAACUGGAGGACCGAACCGACUAAUGUUGAAAAAUUAGCGGAUGACUUGUGGCUGGGGGUGAAAGGCCAAUCAAACCGGGAGAUAGCUGGUUCUCCCCGAAAGCUAUUUAGGUAGCGCCUCGUGAAUUCAUCUCCGGGGGUAGAGCACUGUUUCGGCAAGGGGGUCAUCCCGACUUACCAACCCGAUGCAAACUGCGAAUACCGGAGAAUGUUAUCACGGGAGACACACGGCGGGUGCUAACGUCCGUCGUGAAGAGGGAAACAACCCAGACCGCCAGCUAAGGUCCCAAAGUCAUGGUUAAGUGGGAAACGAUGUGGGAAGGCCCAGACAGCCAGGAUGUUGGCUUAGAAGCAGCCAUCAUUUAAAGAAAGCGUAAUAGCUCACUGGUCGAGUCGGCCUGCGCGGAAGAUGUAACGGGGCUAAACCAUGCACCGAAGCUGCGGCAGCGACGCUUAUGCGUUGUUGGGUAGGGGAGCGUUCUGUAAGCCUGCGAAGGUGUGCUGUGAGGCAUGCUGGAGGUAUCAGAAGUGCGAAUGCUGACAUAAGUAACGAUAAAGCGGGUGAAAAGCCCGCUCGCCGGAAGACCAAGGGUUCCUGUCCAACGUUAAUCGGGGCAGGGUGAGUCGACCCCUAAGGCGAGGCCGAAAGGCGUAGUCGAUGGGAAACAGGUUAAUAUUCCUGUACUUGGUGUUACUGCGAAGGGGGGACGGAGAAGGCUAUGUUGGCCGGGCGACGGUUGUCCCGGUUUAAGCGUGUAGGCUGGUUUUCCAGGCAAAUCCGGAAAACUAAGGCUGAGGCGUGAUGACGAGGCACUACGGUGCUGAAGCAACAAAUGCCCUGCUUCCAGGAAAAGCCUCUAAGCAUCAGGUAACAUCAAAUCGUACCCCAAACCGACACAGGUGGUCAGGUAGAGAAUACCAAGGCGCUUGAGAGAACUCGGGUGAAGGAACUAGGCAAAAUGGUGCCGUAACUUCGGGAGAAGGCACGCUGAUAUGUAGGUGAAGCGACUUGCUCGUGGAGCUGAAAUCAGUCGAAGAUACCAGCUGGCUGCAACUGUUUAUUAAAAACACAGCACUGUGCAAACACGAAAGUGGACGUAUACGGUGUGACGCCUGCCCGGUGCCGGAAGGUUAAUUGAUGGGGUCAGCGCAAGCGAAGCUCUUGAUCGAAGCCCCGGUAAACGGCGGCCGUAACUAUAACGGUCCUAAGGUAGCGAAAUUCCUUGUCGGGUAAGUUCCGACCUGCACGAAUGGCGUAAUGAUGGCCAGGCUGUCUCCACCCGAGACUCAGUGAAAUUGAACUCGCUGUGAAGAUGCAGUGUACCCGCGGCAAGACGGAAAGACCCCGUGAACCUUUACUAUAGCUUGACACUGAACAUUGAGCCUUGAUGUGUAGGAUAGGUGGGAGGCUUUGAAGUGUGGACGCCAGUCUGCAUGGAGCCGACCUUGAAAUACCACCCUUUAAUGUUUGAUGUUCUAACGUUGACCCGUGAUCCGGGUUGCGGACAGUGUCUGGUGGGUAGUUUGACUGGGGCGGUCUCCUCCUAAAGAGUAACGGAGGAGCACGAAGGUUGGCUAAUCCUGGUCGGACAUCAGGAGGUUAGUGCAAUGGCAUAAGCCAGCUUGACUGCGAGCGUGACGGCGCGAGCAGGUGCGAAAGCAGGUCAUAGUGAUCCGGUGGUUCUGAAUGGAAGGGCCAUCGCUCAACGGAUAAAAGGUACUCCGGGGAUAACAGGCUGAUACCGCCCAAGAGUUCAUAUCGACGGCGGUGUUUGGCACCUCGAUGUCGGCUCAUCACAUCCUGGGGCUGAAGUAGGUCCCAAGGGUAUGGCUGUUCGCCAUUUAAAGUGGUACGCGAGCUGGGUUUAGAACGUCGUGAGACAGUUCGGUCCCUAUCUGCCGUGGGCGCUGGAGAACUGAGGGGGGCUGCUCCUAGUACGAGAGGACCGGAGUGGACGCAUCACUGGUGUUCGGGUUGUCAUGCCAAUGGCACUGCCCGGUAGCUAAAUGCGGAAGAGAUAAGUGCUGAAAGCAUCUAAGCACGAAACUUGCCCCGAGAUGAGUUCUCCCUGACUCCUUGAGAGUCCUGAAGGAACGUUGAAGACGACGACGUUGAUAGGCCGGGUGUGUAAGCGCAGCGAUGCGUUGAGCUAACCGGUACUAAUGAACCGUGAGGCUUAACCUUACAACGCCGAAGGUGUUU
rnacentral:rRNA from 1 species